CUUACCUAACAAUUUCAUAUUUUUUCACAUCAGUCAAGAAGCCCUACACAACAAUAAAUGAAAAUUCAGUUUCCGAAGGCAUUACCAAUAAGUGGAUUUCCUCUUUAUCUUUGAUUCUUUUGAAAUAAUACUUUGAAUGAACAAUUUUCGUUGCGAUAAGACGAAAACCAAAUUCACGUGAUAAGAUCGACUCUGAGGGCGAGCUGCUCUCGUAGGACGACGUCCGGAUAAUGUGUCUUGUCAAACGUACUCUCCAAUUGCUCGAGUUGCUCUUCUGUGAAUAUCGUUCGGUGACGACGCUUGCGUUUUGGCGGAGGGCCGGCCAGGCCUGCUAGCGCGGCUGCAGCAUACCCCCCAUACAAGCUACCGUAGCUACCAGCGCCGGAGACACCGUUGCCGACUCCACUCACUCCUAAGGAGAUUAUAAGCAAAAUUUUACGAUUUUAAAUGAGAUUUAAUUGCCGCUAUAAUAUAAUCUUAUGUAAAUUUAUCAUGAAAGUAUAUUUUCAAUAAAAUUCAAAACUUUUUUUUUUACCUAAAUACACAAGCCAAAAACAAUAUGAUAUUUUCUAAACCGAUGUUGUUUUAGUUUAUUUCUAGGUACACAAAUUAAUGAUGUACAAUAAAUGAUAACUUAAAAUUUUCAUUUUUUAAUAUU